rnacentral:rRNA from 1 species
GAUGAACGCUGGCGGCGUGCCUAAUACAUGCAAGUCGAGCGAACAGAUGAGGAGCUUGCUCCUCUGACGUUAGCGGCGGACGGGUGAGUAACACGUGGAUAACCUACCUAUAAGACUGGGAUAACUUCGGGAAACCGGAGCUAAUACCGGAUAAUAUAUUGAACCGCAUGGUUCAAUAGCGAAAGACGGUUUUGCUGUCACUUAUAGAUGGAUCCGCGCCGCAUUAGCUAGUUGGUAAGGUAACGGCUUACCAAGGCAACGAUGCGUAGCUGACCUGAGAGGGUGAUCGGCCACACUGGAACUGAGACACGGUCCAGACUCCUACGGGAGGCAGCAGUAGAGAAUCUUCCGCAAUGGGCGAAAGCCUGACGGAGCAACGCCGCGUGAGUGAUGAAGGUCUUCGGAUCGUAAAACUCUGUUAUUAGGGAAGAACAAAUGUGUAAGUAACUAUGCACGUCUUGACGGUACCUAAUCAGAAAGCCACGGCUAACUACGUG